GGAGCCAAACGACAACAAGAUUCUCAGAGGGCGGAGCCAGAGAGCAGUGAUUGGACAGACCAUAGUUUAUAUAGCAGACAGCGCGCUAGCGUAUCUAGUCUAUGUAUAUAUAUGGUUGGCACGUCUGGUAGCAUCUCUGGCUGCUGUUGAUCUUGUUUUUGGAGUAAAACACGGUGGAAGCUGAAUUAGUGAGGAUGACUCCUGCUCCUGUCAUCUCUAAGCUCCUCACACAUCUUUACCUGCACAUGAGGAAAAUCACUCCUGUAGAAUGCAGAUGUUCAGAGGGAGAUGAUGCCACAUCUGGUCCAGCUGAUGGAAGGUCUUGAAGUUCUCUGACUGGCCUCGACUGAAGAUGGUCGUCUCACUGGAUUUAAGGUUCAGAUGCUCAGUAACAAACUCCACCAAUGUGCCAACAGGGAAGCUUUAGGUUUAUUAAAUGUUGCUAUGAAGGUAUCGCUGUUUUUCUUUGUGAAUGCAAUGUGCUCCAACUGAAAGUUGAAUUAGAACUUAGAAGUAAAUCCUUCCAUCUGAAAGGAUUUAAUUGCAUUAAUAACCUCAUAACAUUCUAAUUUUUAUUCCAGUCUUGGCUGGAAAUAGAAUCUCUGUAUUGAUUCAGUUAAAAACUGAACUUCACAGCAUGUUGAAGCAAAACAACCAGAUGAAAACUGUGAUGGUGUUGGAUUGUCAGACCGUAAUGUUGCAGCUCAAAGCAGCUUUUCUAUCUCAGUUCAUUCUGACAUUCAGCUAUGAAUCAACACAGCAGAUGGUGAUCCAUGCUGUGGAAGUCUCACAUCUCCUGAUUUAAUGGAGCUGCUUUGCACUUUUUACACUGUUUAUUCACCAACACUUUAUUUAAUAAAAGUCCCAUCUAGUUUUUAUGAGGAAUGUGAUGUUUUAAUUUCUCUGUGAAUAACUGCAGUCUAAUGUAACAGCUGGAGUUGUAACAUCUGUCCUGAUAUUGAUCAUGAAGUAUUGAUCAGAAUACUGAUGGUCAGCAGUCAUCCCUGAAGUUUUACAUUAAAAUCUUUACUUGUGUUGUGAACUUUGGUAAGAAGCAGAAACUUUUGCGUUGCCAUGGAUACAUGAGUGUUAAGUUCUGUCCAUGUUUCCAUUUUGGGAAAUGCAGUCCAGUUCCAGAAUGUGGAGGAAUUUAGUCUCACAAUCACAGACAAUAAAUAUUAUCUGAAAGUCGGGUUAUUGUUGUUUAUCAGCACAAUACAAAAAGAUUAAUGUUAGAAAUAUUCCAGUUAAGACUCUAGAAUAUCAUGAUUUAUGUAAAUUUACCUCAAUAAUAUGAAUCUUCAGGUUAAGAUUGUACAGUGAUAUUUAUUAUGUAAGUUUAGCUGAUUAAAGUUUAUGACUCUGCACUAAAAUAUUAUUUAAAUUGUCAUUAUUAUAAUAUUUAGGGUCAGACCCUACAGUAUUGAGAUUAAGAAAUCAAAUAUUCUAUAAAAUGUAAAUACACUGAACUCAUUUGGAUCUAUUUAAGUGAGACUCUACAGUAUUAUUUGACACAAAUCUAUCUAAAUCAAAAUUUUAAUCAUUUUCAUGCCAAACAUUUACUGGACUGAUUUAAAUAUUAAAAUCACUCCUUUCUAAUCCUCUGCUGUACGUUCAAACCUGAGGCCUUAAAUAGAAACACACAAGUAUCUGAUUGAAGGAACUUCUGCAGAGUCCUGGUUCCAGAACAUGAUGAUAGAAUUAUAGACAAACUUUAACAAAAGCUGCCUCAGAGUUUACAGAUUUUUAUGUUGGAUUUCUUCAGUAAUUUAAUGAGCGUUAUCAGCAAUAAUCAAGUGUUCAUUUGAUGAACUUCAUUUCCUAAAACAUCCAGAAUUGGAGCUCAUAUCUUUGGCAGCUGUAAAGUUUCUGCUCCUUCAAAGUUCACAACACAAUGAAUGAAUUCCUAAAACACUCAAUGCUGGAGAGCGUUUGUGAUGCUGAAGCAGUGAUCAGUUUUUCUGUUUCUUCUCUGGAGAAGCACAAUGAGGGACGUCUGCAGAGACUGAGAAAGAGUCUCGCCACAUCCUUACAUGAGGAAAAAGACUUUACUGAAGACUACAAUGAGGAAAACUAUCAGACAGCAGACAGCUGCAUUCAAGGCUACAGGAGGAGUCCUACGAGGACGAGCCGGUCCACCUGAUGGCGGCCAGUCGCUGCGGUUCAAAGCCAACACCGACUACGUGGACUUCUACUGGACCACACGGAGGUCUUCAAACCGGACCAACAAGUUCAGCGACUCCCCGACUCGUGGGUCUGAGGACGCCGCCGAGCCUCAGCCCAGCCGGCCUCCUGUCUGUGGGUGUUUGAGUGCUGAGAGCUGCAUGCCUUCGUCCACCCGGCCUCCGUUGACUCGUCCCGCCUGCCGUCUCUGGAGCUGAAGCUGGAUUGGAACAGACCAAAG
ensembl:lncRNA